CCUCGCUCAUCGUUUCCCUUCGUUUUCUCCGCCGUCUCCUUGGCUUCGCCCCUGGUUUCUUCCUAGGGUUUUAUGAAGCGAUCUGCUGAUUCGGAUCCCUCCUUUACGUCGCCUAAUGCUGUUUGUUGAUUGCUUCUGAUCUCCUUCCAAGGUUUGUUUUGUUUCGCCUGAAUAUGCCCAAUUUGUUUUGUUUUGCCCGUUUCAGUUCGUUUCAUUUCAUGAGCCCGUUCUCUCCUGUUCGCUAGUUUCGAUCUGAUUGAUUAGCUAGGCUAUUAACAAGAUAACCUCCAGAUACAUCUAACUUUAUUCGUUGUGAUUAAUUUGUUAAUAGUCUGUUGUUCUCAGUUCUGACAUUUAGUAUUCAGUCACCUUUGUCUGACUAGCAUUUCUUCUCUGAAGCUCUUGGCAUGAAAGCUUUUGUCUAACUAGCAUUUAGAAGAUUGACCAAGAGAAAUAUAUAUCUGAUGUUUUGGGUGACAUAAUUGAUAGUUCUGAUUCUAGGGGUUGCAUUAUCUAUAUAUUAAUCUGAGAGUAUAUAAUGUUUCUACAUACUUCACCACAAGCAUGCCUUGUUUCAGGGUGUUGUUUUUAUGAGGUUUAAGCAAGACUAAGUUUCAGCACUUGUUGCUGACCCGCCGUGCUGCUUGUUUUAUCUUCUGCUCUGCAAGUUAGAUAUCAUGCUGCUGAUUCCUGCUAGAGUUUUGUGUUUCAAGUUUUCCCAAGAGAAGUACAUAUCUGGUGUAGUCAGUCUUUUCAAAAGCAUAUUGUCUGCCAUUCUUCUUCACACUGCAUGAACUUACUUGUUUCCAAAUAAUUUUGGAAUGUUUCAAACAUCUAAACAUUUUUUGUGUAAACAUUUCUACGAGAACACUCUGAAAUGUUUUCAAAUAAUUCUAGAAUAUUUUGAUUAUUCAGAACACUUUGAAUUGUUCUCAAACAAUUUCAGAAUUUAUGAAACAUUUAUAGCAAUUUGAAUUGUUUGACAAAUAUUUUUUGUGUAAACAUUUCUAGGGGAACACUUUGAAAUGUUUCCAAAUAAUUUGAUUAUUCAGAACACUUUGAAUUGUUAUCAAACAAAUUCGGAAUAAGUGAAACCAACAAUUUGAAUUAUUUGAUGAAUAUUUUUUGGGGAACACUCUGAAAUGUUUCCAAAUAAUUCUGGAAUGUUUCAAACAUCUAGGAACAUUCUGAAAUGUUUACAAACAUUUCAUAAAGUGCAAAACCUUUCUUGGGAACAUUUUUGUUACCAAUAUUCGAAACACUUUGAAUUGUUCUCAAACAAAUUUGGAAUUUGUGAAACAGACAAUUUGAUUUGUUUGAUGAAUAUUUUUUGGGUUUAGCAUUCAUCUGUUUUGUAUCUAUUUUUGAGAUUCAUCAGGUAGCCCAAAGUUUAGCGUUUAUAUAGAUUCUGUUAUCGAUCCAAUUCUUUUUAGUGUACGCAUCCGAGUCCAGUACUUUUCUGUGUACAAAAUGUGUCUCAAUUCAAGUAUGCAGUUAGCUAGACACUCAUUUGGAACCAUUACUUUUUUAUUUAUGAAUUGUAUAUAAUUUAAAUUAGUGGUUAGCUAUCUACUUAUUUGGGUGAAAUUCUUUUUUAUUAUGUUUGAGAGAUAUAUCUCUUUAUUUAUGCUCCUGGACACAUGCAUUUGUUCCAAAGUUUUUUAGCUCUAUAGAUUCAUUUUUUCUUGCUCGGUUCCUACUUCCUAGCGUUCAUGGCUGUACCUAUACCAUAAAUCUCCCGGUUGAAUAGCUUUAUACAUCCAUUUUUUUACCAUCCCCCCAGCCUGCUCCUGAAGUUGUUUCUAACUUGUUGCUUUUGUUUUUUUAUUAGUUGUCUCUGCACUGUGCUAACAGUUAUGGAUCAUUUGAAGAAUCAUUUUUCCACUAAACGGUUUAAAAAAGUUAUCGAUUCUCUAUCAGAAGAUUAAAAAGGUUUUGUUGUAAAGAAUGGUUUUCAAAGUAUUUUGGCUAUCCGCAAGUUCAGUGUUCCGUUGCCUUUUCUUGAAUGGGUGAUGGGUCUGCUUGUCAUUGAGCCUUAUCAGUUUAUGCACAGAGGAUAGAUUUUCAGGUUCACCAGAUUUAUGGUUCAACAAAUCCUUGGUAUUCCUUCUGGAGAUAUUCCAAUUAAUCUUCUCAAUAGUUCCAUCAAAUCAUGUGAUCAAGCAGUUCAGUGUAAUCCAAUCUUUUUAGUUUCACCAGAUUUUGAAAGAUGAUUUAACUCCUGGAAUCACAAAUGCAAUGGGAUAUGAUACUGAAGCAAGCAUUGAUGUAGCAGAAAUUGAUUGCAGAGUUAAUUCCAAAAAGGAAGGCAAGAAUGGGUUCCAGUACGAUUGACAGGAAGAACAGGGAGAAGAGAGCAGUAAUCAUAUUUGAUGAUGAUAAUGCAUGAUACCAACAUGUGGAUACAUGCAUUAUCAUUUUCUUAAUUUUUACAAUUUUUGGUGGUCUAAUUCAUCAUGUUUUUUUGUUGUAGGGCCUACCAUGAAUUCUGAAGCCAAGCUUUUUAUGUUGUUGCACCUCAAGAAUGUGUCAAAAUAACUGGGUUCUAUGAGAUGAUACUUUUUGCUGUUCAAGUAGGUUACAUAGGCUUAAGUUUUACAUGUGUCUGCAGCUCUAAAAAACUAAGCUCACUGUUUAUUACUCUAUUUCAUUAUAGAACCUUUUCUCUUGUUCGAUCUUUCUUAA